CAAAAACCGUUGAUCGAGCAUAGUAGCUAACCCCCCGUGUAAAGAGAGGAAAUGCCUUGGCUGAGAGCAUUUCUACAAUGUGACUUAGUGAAUGAACACUCAGGAGGUUUCUCUCUGAAAACGAUUUGUUACUAGGAGAUGAACGUACCAGGCGUUAACUGGCUAAGUGGAGGUCUUUCAUAGACUUCAAUUAGGGUGGCACCACGGGAAUAACAGCUCUCGUCCCUUGU
rnacentral:ncRNA from 1 species